rnacentral:rRNA from 1 species
GACGAACGCUGGCGGCGUGCCUAAUACAUGCAAGUAGAACGCUGAAGAGAGGAGCUUGCUCUUCUUGGCUGAGUUGCGAACGGGUGAGUAACGCGUAGGUAACCUGCCUUGUAGCGGGGGAUAACUAUUGGAAACGAUAGCUAAUACCGCAUAACAAUGGAUGACACAUGUCAUUUAUUUGAAAGGGGCAAUUGCUCCACUACAAGAUGGACCUGCGUUGUAUUAGCUAGUAGGUGAGGUAAUGGCUCACCUAGGCGACGAUACAUAGCCGACCUGAGAGGGUGAUCGGCCACACUGGGACUGAGACACGGCCCAGACUCCUACGGGAGGCAGCAGUAGGGAAUCUUCGGCAAUGGGGGCAACCCUGACCGAGCAACGCCGCGUGAGUGAAGAAGGUUUUCGGAUCGUAAAGCUCGGUUGUAAGUCAAGAACGGGUGUGAGAGUGGAAAGUUCACACUGUGACGGUAGCUUACCAGAAAGGGACGGCUAACUACGUG